GCCCCUAUAGCUCAGCUGGCAGAGCAGUGGACUUUUAAUCCUCGGGUCGCGGGUUCGAUCCCCGCUGGGGGCACCA
rnacentral:tRNA from 1 species